rnacentral:rRNA from 1 species
UACGUAGGUGGCGAGCGUUGUCCGGAUUUACUGGGCGUAAAGCGCGCGCAGGCGGGCUGAUAAGUCCGGGGUGAAAUCUCACGGCUCAACUGUGAGUGGUCCCCGGAUACUGUUCGUCUUGAGGGGUCUAGAGGAGAGCGGAAUUCCCGGUGUAGUGGUGGAAUGCGUAGAUAUCGGGAAGAACACCAGUGGCGAAAGCGGCUCUCUGGGGAUUACCUGACGCUGAGGCGCGAAAGCGUGGGGAGCGAACCGG